UACCCGCUGAGUUUGAGCAUAUCAAUAAGCGGAGGAAAA
rnacentral:rRNA from 1 species